rnacentral:rRNA from 1 species
UACAGAGGUCUCAAGCGUUGUUCGGAUUCAUUGGGCGUAAAGGGUGCGCAGGCGGCGCGGUAAGUCGGGUGUGAAAUCUUGGAGCUUAACUCCGAAACUGCAUUCGAUACUGCCGUGCUUGAGGACUGGAGAGGAGACUGGAAUUUACGGUGUAGCGGUGAAAUGCGUAGAUAUCGUAAGGAAGACCAGUUGCGAAGGCGGAUCUCUGGGCAGUUCCUGACACUGAGGCACGAAGGCCAGGGGAGCAAACGGG